AGCUCCAAUAGCGUAUAUUAAAGUUGUUGCAGUUAAAAAGCUCGUAGUUGGAUUUCGGAACGGGCCAGUUGGUCCGCCGCAAGGUGUGUACUGACUGGUUUGUUCUUCUUCGCAAAGACUGCGUGUGCUCUUUAUUGAGUGUGCGUAGGAUUUACGACGUUUACUUUGAAAAAAUUAGAGUGUUCAAGGCAGGCUCGCCAGCUUGAAUACAUGAGCAUGGAAUAAUGGAAUAGGACUACGGUCCCUAUUUCGUUGGUUUGACGGACCGAAGUAAUGAUUAAGAGGGACAAUUGGGGGCAUCCGUAUUUCGUAGUCAGAGGUGAAAUUCUUGGACCUACGAAAGACGAACAACUGCGAAAGCAUUUGCCAAGAGUGUUUUCAUUAAUCAAGAACGAAAGUA
rnacentral:rRNA from 1 species